GGGUUGUGAGGUUAAGCGACUAAGCGUACACGGUGGAUGCCCUGGCAGUCAGAGGCGAUGAAGGACGUGCUAAUCUGCGAUAAGCGUCGGUAAGGUGAUAUGAACCGUUAUAACCGGCGAUUUCCGAAUGGGGAAACCCAGUGUGAUUCGUCACACUAUCAUUAACUGAAUCCAUAGGUUAAUGAGGCGAACCGGGGGAACUGAAACAUCUAAGUACCCCGAGGAAAAGAAAUCAACCGAGAUUCCCCCAGUAGCGGCGAGCGAACGGGGAGCAGCCCAGAGCCUGAAUCAGUGUGUGUGUUAGUGGAAGCGUCUGGAAAGGCGCGCGAUACAGGGUGACAGCCCCGUACACAAAAAUGCACAUACUGUGAGCUCGAUGAGUAGGGCGGGACACGUGGUAUCCUGUCUGAAUAUGGGGGGACCAUCCUCCAAGGCUAAAUACUCCUGACUGACCGAUAGUGAACCAGUACCGUGAGGGAAAGGCGAAAAGAACCCCGGCGAGGGGAGUGAAAAAGAACCUGAAACCGUGUACGUACAAGCAGUGGGAGCACAGAGCAAUCUGUGUGACUGCGUACCUUUUGUAUAAUGGGUCAGCGACUUAUAUUCUGUAGCAAGGUUAACCGAAUAGGGGAGCCGAAGGGAAACCGAGUCUUAACUGGGCGUUAAGUUGCAGGGUAUAGACCCGAAACCCGGUGAUCUAGCCAUGGGCAGGUUGAAGGUUGGGUAACACUAACUGGAGGACCGAACCGACUAAUGUUGAAAAAUUAGCGGAUGACUUGUGGCUGGGGGUGAAAGGCCAAUCAAACCGGGAGAUAGCUGGUUCUCCCCGAAAGCUAUUUAGGUAGCGCCUCGUGAAUUCAUCUCCGGGGGUAGAGCACUGUUUCGGCAAGGGGGUCAUCCCGACUUACCAACCCGAUGCAAACUGCGAAUACCGGAGAAUGUUAUCACGGGAGACACACGGCGGGUGCUAACGUCCGUCGUGAAGAGGGAAACAACCCAGACCGCCAGCUAAGGUCCCAAAGUCAUGGUUAAGUGGGAAACGAUGUGGGAAGGCCCAGACAGCCAGGAUGUUGGCUUAGAAGCAGCCAUCAUUUAAAGAAAGCGUAAUAGCUCACUGGUCGAGUCGGCCUGCGCGGAAGAUGUAACGGGGCUAAACCAUGCACCGAAGCUGCGGCAGCGACGCUGAUGCGUUGUUGGGUAGGGGAGCGUUCUGUAAGCCUGUGAAGGUGUACUGUGAGGUAUGCUGGAGGUAUCAGAAGUGCGAAUGCUGACAUAAGUAACGAUAAAGCGGGUGAAAAGCCCGCUCGCCGGAAGACCAAGGGUUCCUGUCCAACGUUAAUCGGGGCAGGGUGAGUCGACCCCUAAGGCGAGGCCGAAAGGCGUAGUCGAUGGGAAACAGGUUAAUAUUCCUGUACUUGGUGUUACUGCGAAGGGGGGACGGAGAAGGCUAUGUUGGCCGGGCGACGGUUGUCCCGGUUUAAGCGUGUAGGCUGGUUUUCCAGGCAAAUCCGGAAAAUCAAGGCUGAGGCGUGAUGACGAGGCACUACGGUGCUGAAGCAACAAAUGCCCUGCUUCCAGGAAAAGCCUCUAAGCAUCAGGUAACAUCAAAUCGUACCCCAAACCGACACAGGUGGUCAGGUAGAGAAUACCAAGGCGCUUGAGAGAACUCGGGUGAAGGAACUAGGCAAAAUGGUGCCGUAACUUCGGGAGAAGGCACGCUGAUAUGUAGGUGAAGCGACUUGCUCGUGGAGCUGAAAUCAGUCGAAGAUACCAGCUGGCUGCAACUGUUUAUUAAAAACACAGCACUGUGCAAACACGAAAGUGGACGUAUACGGUGUGACGCCUGCCCGGUGCCGGAAGGUUAAUUGAUGGGGUUAGCGCAAGCGAAGCUCUUGAUCGAAGCCCCGGUAAACGGCGGCCGUAACUAUAACGGUCCUAAGGUAGCGAAAUUCCUUGUCGGGUAAGUUCCGACCUGCACGAAUGGCGUAAUGAUGGCCAGGCUGUCUCCACCCGAGACUCAGUGAAAUUGAACUCGCUGUGAAGAUGCAGUGUACCCGCGGCAAGACGGAAAGACCCCGUGAACCUUUACUAUAGCUUGACACUGAACAUUGAGCCUUGAUGUGUAGGAUAGGUGGGAGGCUUUGAAGUGUGGACGCCAGUCUGCAUGGAGCCGACCUUGAAAUACCACCCUUUAAUGUUUGAUGUUCUAACGUUGACCCGUAAUCCGGGUUGCGGACAGUGUCUGGUGGGUAGUUUGACUGGGGCGGUCUCCUCCUAAAGAGUAACGGAGGAGCACGAAGGUUGGCUAAUCCUGGUCGGACAUCAGGAGGUUAGUGCAAUGGCAUAAGCCAGCUUGACUGCGAGCGUGACGGCGCGAGCAGGUGCGAAAGCAGGUCAUAGUGAUCCGGUGGUUCUGAAUGGAAGGGCCAUCGCUCAACGGAUAAAAGGUACUCCGGGGAUAACAGGCUGAUACCGCCCAAGAGUUCAUAUCGACGGCGGUGUUUGGCACCUCGAUGUCGGCUCAUCACAUCCUGGGGCUGAAGUAGGUCCCAAGGGUAUGGCUGUUCGCCAUUUAAAGUGGUACGCGAGCUGGGUUUAGAACGUCGUGAGACAGUUCGGUCCCUAUCUGCCGUGGGCGCUGGAGAACUGAGGGGGGCUGCUCCUAGUACGAGAGGACCGGAGUGGACGCAUCACUGGUGUUCGGGUUGUCAUGCCAAUGGCACUGCCCGGUAGCUAAAUGCGGAAGAGAUAAGUGCUGAAAGCAUCUAAGCACGAAACUUGCCCCGAGAUGAGUUCUCCCUGAC
rnacentral:rRNA from 1 species